AAUUUUAUAAAUUUUUUCAUAUGUUUUAACGAUUAUUUACAUAGCAACCGAUAUGCUAAAAAACUGUUUCCUUCUCUCGCAUGUCACACCUCACAACAGCUCAUCAACUGACGCUACCACUAAAACAGUUAGGCGGAGCCAUCAUCUUUGUUUGGUCGAAUGAAAUACGUAACAAUCUUUCUACUACUUGUCGCGGUGACCAUGGCCAUCGCCGGCGCGGAGCACGACGUCGCGGACGUUGUUGACGAACUCCUCCCAGCCGAGCCACGACCCCUCCACCGCCGGAUCGAAGCUCGCCGAGAACACGCCGUACGGGACGCCCAGGAGGAGGCCGAAGAGCAGGAACCCCACCCAGAGCGGAGGCUCCAGGUCGAGCCCGGUCAC
rnacentral:lncRNA from 1 species